rnacentral:rRNA from 1 species
AACGAGUUCUGAUUAUUGAAAGGUGCUUGCAUCUUGAUUUAAUUUUGAACGAGUGGCGGACGGGUGAGUAACACGUGGGUAACCUGCCCUUAAGUGGGGGAUAACAUUUGGAAACAGAUGCUAAUACCGCAUAAAUCCAAGAACCGCAUGGUUCUUGGCUGAAAGAUGGCGUAAGCUAUCGCUUUUGGAUGGACCCGCGGCGUAUUAGCUAGUUGGUGAGGUAACGGCUCACCAAGGCAAUGAUACGUAGCCGAACUGAGAGGUUGAUCGGCCACAUUGGGACUGAGACACGGCCCAAACUCCUACGGGAGGCAGCAGUAGGGAAUCUUCCACAAUGGACGCAAGUCUGAUGGAGCAACGCCGCGUGAGUGAAGAAGGCUUUCGGGUCGUAAAACUCUGUUGUUGGAGAAGAAUGGUCGGCAGAGUAACUGUUGUCGGCGUGACGGUAUCCAACCAGAAAGCCACGGCUAACUACGUGCCAGCAGCCGCGGUAAUACGUAGGUGGCAAGCGUUAUCCGGAUUUAUUGGGCGUAAAGCGAGCGCAGGCGGUUUUUUAAGUCUGAUGUGAAAGCCCUCGGCUUAACCGAGGAAGUGCAUCGGAAACUGGGAAACUUGAGUGCAGAAGAGGACAGUGGAACUCCAUGUGUAGCGGUGAAAUGCGUAGAUAUAUGGAAGAACACCAGUGGCGAAGGCGGCUGUCUGGUCUGUAACUGACGCUGAGGCUCGAAAGCAUGGGUAGCGAACAGGAUUAGAUACCCUGGUAGUCCAUGCCGUAAACGAUGAAUGCUAGGUGUUGGAGGGUUUCCGCCCUUCAGUGCCGCAGCUAACGCAUUAAGCAUUCCGCCUGGGGAGUACGACCGCAAGGUUGAAACUCAAAGGAAUUGACGGGGGCCCGCACAAGCGGUGGAGCAUGUGGUUUAAUUCGAAGCAACGCGAAGAACCUUACCAGGUCUUGACAUCUUUUGAUCACCUGAGAGAUCAGGUUUCCCCUUCGGGGGCAAAAUGACAGGUGGUGCAUGGUUGUCGUCAGCUCGUGUCGUGAGAUGUUGGGUUAAGUCCCGCAACGAGCGCAACCCUUAUGACUAGUUGCCAGCAUUUAGUUGGGCACUCUAGUAAGACUGCCGGUGACAAACCGGAGGAAGGUGGGGAUGACGUCAAAUCAUCAUGCCCCUUAUGACCUGGGCUACACACGUGCUACAAUGGAUGGUACAACGAGUUGCGAGACCGCGAGGUCAAGCUAAUCUCUUAAAGCCAUUCUCAGUUCGGACUGUAGGCUGCAACUCGCCUACACGAAGUCGGAAUCGCUAGUAAUCGCGGAUCAGCACGCCGCGGUGAAUACGUUCCCGGGCCUUGUACACACCGCCCGUCACACCAUGAGAGUUUGUAACACCCGAAGCCGGUGGCGUAACCCUUUUAGGGAGCGA